AACUCCGUUAUUUUGCGAGGAAUCAUAAUAACUAAUCAGAGCGUAGCAAUACGCCGCAUCAUUCAAGUUUCUACCCUAUCAGCUCUCGAUGGUAGUGUAUUGGACUACCAUGGCAAUUACGGGUAACGGGGAAUUGGGGUUCGAUUCCGGAGAAGGAGCCUGAGAAACGGCUACUAUUUCUAAGGAAGGCAGCAGGCGCGUAAAUUACCCAAUCCUGACUCAGGGAGGUAGUUAAUAGAAAUAACUUGAUCGGCUCUAUGAGUAUUGAUCGUGUAAUGAACCAAAUGUAGAAAAAUUGGUGAAUCCUAUUGGAGGGCAAGUCUGGUGCCAGCAGCCGCGGUAAUUCCAGCUCCAAUAGCGUAUAUUAAAGUUGUUGCAGUUAAAAAGCUCGUAGUUGAAUUUCCGGCAGUAUUGCCUGUCCGUAAGGGUAUCGACCACCGUCAAAAGUUUUUGAUACUUGAGCGGACUUUUACUGUGAUUAAAAUAGAGUGCUCAAAGCAGGCUUGUGCUUGAAUAUUUCAGCAUGGAAUAAUAAAAGACGACUUCAGUCAAUUUAUUGGUUAUUGGCAGAAGUAAUGAUUAACAGAAACAGUUGGGGGCAUCCGUAUUUGGUAGUCAGAGGUGAAAUUCUUAGAUUUAUCAAAGACGAACUAAUGCGAAAGCAUUUGCCAAGAAUGUUUUCAUUAAUCAAGAACGAAAGUUAGGGGAUCCAAGACGAUUAGAUACCGUCGUAGUCCUAACCAUAAACUAUACCGACUAGGGAUUGGAAGGCUACGUACCUUUCAGCACCUAAUGAGAAAUCAAAGUCUUUGGGUUCUUGGGGGAGUAUGGUCGCAAGGCUGAAACUUAAAGGAAUUGACGGAAGGGCACUACCAGGAGUGGAUUCUGCGGCUUAAUUUGAUUCAACACGGGAAAACUUACCAGGGCAACAUGUUGAGAGGAUUGACAGUUUGAUAGCGCUUUCUUGAUCCGAUAGCUAGUGGUGCAUGGCCGUUCUUAGUUGGUGGAGUGAUUUGUCAGGUUUAUUCCUUUAACGAACGAGACCUUAACCUGCUAAAUAGAAACAUCUAUAACUUAGAUGUAUUCUUCUUAGAGGGACUACCGAAAAAAACGGUGGAAGUUUGAGGCAAUAACAGGUCCGUGAUGCCCUUAAAUGUUCUGGGCCGCACGCGUAAUACACUGAUGCAAGCAAUAAGUCUACCUAACCCGAAAGGGAAUGGGUAAUCUUCAUAAACUGCAUCGUGCUUGGGAUAGAUCUUUGUAAUUGUGGAUCUUGAACGAGGAAUUCCUAGUAAGUAUGAGUCAUCAACUCAUGCUGAUUACGUCCCUGCCCUUUGUACACACCGCCCGUCACUUCUACCGAUUCGAGUGGUUCGACGAAUGACUAGGAUUGACGACUUUGUUGUUAAGAAUUUUUGUAAGUCAUAUCACUUAGAGGAAGGAAAAGGCGUAACAAGGUU
rnacentral:rRNA from 1 species